rnacentral:rRNA from 1 species
AGCGAACGCUGGCGGCAGGCCUAACACAUGCAAGUCGAACGAACCUUUCGGGGUUAGUGGCGGACGGGUGAGUAACACGUGGGAACGUACCUUUAGGUUCGGAAUAACUCAGGGAAACUUGUGCUAAUACCGAAUGUGCCCUUCGGGGGAAAGAUUUAUCGCCUUUAGAGCGGCCCGCGUCUGAUUAGCUAGUUGGUUGAGGUAAUGGCUCACCAAGGCGACGAUCAGUAGCUGGUCUGAGAGGAUGAUCAGCCACAUUGGGACUGAGACACGCCCCAAACUCCUACGGGAGGCAGCAGUGGGGAAUCUUGCGCAAUGGGCGAAAGCCUGACGCAGCCAUGCCGCGUGAAUGAUGAAGGUCUUAGGAUUGUAAAAUUCUUUCACCGGGGACGAUAAUGACGGUACCCGGAGAAGAAGCCCCGGCUAACUUCGUG